UACGAAGGGGGCUAGCGUUAUCCGGAUUCACUGGGUUUAAAGGGUGCGUAGGUGGGCAGGUAAGUCAGUGGUGAAAUCUUUGGGCUUAACCCGAAAACUGCCAUUGAUACUAUUUGUCUUGAAUGUCGUGGAGGUUAGCGGAAUAUGUCAUGUAGCGGUGAAAUGCUUAGAGAUGACAUAGAACACCUAUUGCGAAGGCAGCUCGCUACACUAUCAUUGACGCUGAGGCACGAAAGCGUGGGGAUCAAACAGG
rnacentral:rRNA from 1 species